GGGGGGGGGGGGGGGGGGGCGGGGGGCGGGGCGGUCGGGCGGGGGGGGGCUGCGGUUGGGGGGUGCGGGAGUGGCGAACGGGUGAGGGCCGCGUGAGUAACCUGCCCUGGCCUUUGGGCUCACUUCGGGCAACUGGGGCUACUACCGGCUAGGAGCUCCUCAUGCAUUGUGGUGGUUGGACCGUUUCGGCGGUUGGGGAUGACCUCGCGGCUUAUCAGCUUUUUGGUGGGGUCCUGGCUUACCAAGGGUUUGACGGGUAGCCGGCCUGCGAGGGUGACCGGCCACAGUGGGACUGAGAUACGGCACAGACUGCUACGGGAGGCAGCAGUGGGGAAUAUUGCACAAUGGGCGGAAGCAUGAUGCAGCAACGCCGCGUGCGGGAUGACGGCCGUCGGGUUGUAAACCGCUUUCGCCUGUGACGAAGCGUGAGUGACGGUAAUGGGUAAAGAAGCACCGGCUAACUACGUG
rnacentral:rRNA from 1 species